rnacentral:rRNA from 1 species
UACGUAGGGUGCGAGCGUUAAUCGGAAUUACUGGGCGUAAAGCGUGCGCAGGCGGUUUUGUAAGCCAGAUGUGAAAGCCCCGGGCUUAACCUGGGAAUGGCAUUUGGGACUGCAAGGCUUGAGUGCGGCAGAGGAGACUGGAAUUCCUGGUGUAGCAGUGAAAUGCGCAGAUAUCAGGAGGAACACCGAUGGCGAAGGCAGGUCUCUGGGCAUUAACUGACGCUGAGGAGCGAAAGCAUGGGGAGCGAACAGG